CUCCCGGAGAUUAGCGGCGGACGGGUGAGUAACACGUGGGCAACCUGCCUGUAAGACUGGGAUAACUUCGGGAAACCGGAGCUAAUACCGGAUAGUUUCUUCCCUCUCAUGAGGGAAGAUGGAAAGACGGUCUCGGCUGUCACUUACAGAUGGGCCCGCGGCGCAUUAGCUAGUUGGUGAGGUAACGGCUCACCAAGGCGACGAUGCGUAGCCGACCUGAGAGGGUGAUCGGCCACACUGGGACUGAGACACGGCCCAGACUCCUACGGGAGGCAGCAGUAGGGAAUCUUCCGCAAUGGACGAAAGUCUGACGGAGCAACGCCGCGUGAGCGAUGAAGGCCUUCGGGUCGUAAAGCUCUGUUGUCAGGGAAGAACAAGUGCCAGAGUAACUGCUGGCGCCUUGACGGUACCUGACCAGAAAGCCACGGCUAACUACGUGCCAGCAGCCGCGGUAAUACGUAGGUGGCAAGCGUUGUCCGGAAUUAUUGGGCGUAAAGCGCGCGCAGGCGGUCCUUUAAGUCUGAUGUGAAAGCCCACGGCUCAACCGUGGAGGGUCAUUGGAAACUGGGGGACUUGAGUGCAGAAGAGGAGAGUGGAAUUCCACGUGUAGCGGUGAAAUGCGUAGAGAUGUGGAGGAACACCAGUGGCGAAUGCGACUCUCUGGUCUGUAACUGACGCUGAGGCGCGAAAGCGUGGGGAGCGAACAGGAUUAGAUACCCUGGUAGU
rnacentral:rRNA from 1 species